GUCAACGAUCAUAUCACGUUGAGAACACCAAUUCUCGUCCGAUCACUGCAGUUAAGGAAUGUUGAGCACGGUUAGUACUUGAAUGGGGGGUGACCACUUGGGAACACUGUAUACCGUUGGCA
rnacentral:rRNA from 1 species